rnacentral:rRNA from 1 species
AUUGAACGCUGGCGGCAGGCUUAACACAUGCAAGUCGAGCGGAGCGGCGGACGGGUGAGUAAUGCCUAGGAAUCUGCCUGGUAGUGGGGGAUAACGUCCGGAAACGGGCGCCAAUACCGCAUACUAUCAGAUGAGCCUAGGUCGGAUUAGCUAGUGGGUGGGGUAAAGGCCGACCAAGGCGACGAUCCGUAACUGGUCUGAGAGGAUGAUCAGUCAAACUGGAACUGAGACACGGUCCAGAGUCCUACGGGAGGCAGAAGUGGGGAAUAUUGGACAAUGGGCGAAAGCCGGAUGCAGCCAUGCCGCGUGUGUGAAGAAGGCCUUCGGGUUGUAAAGCACUUUAAGUUGGGAGGCGUUACCAACAGAAGAAGCACCGGCUAACUUCGUGCCAGCAGCCGCGGUAAUUC